AUGGAACAACUGCUCCCAUCCGACACCUUGCACGCUCACAUGGAGACCAGGGUGGUCCCUUCCUGCCCAACACAAAGACGAGGGCAGUGCGGAGAAGAGCGGGAGCUGGAGAUGAGGACCUUCUGCAGGGAGCUGCUCUUUGGAUCAAGUGCAAUUUCUCAGGAUUCCAAGGAGCCUCUAAACACCCGUUGCCUGAAUUCCACGUUUCCACUCUUGUUCACAAGACAGCAGAAGCUGCCCAAAACUCUGCACCAUGCACAGGGCACCCAGUGCCUGGAAGCCACUUAAAUACAUUUUAGAUAUACAUCUCUGCAUUGACUUUUGACAUCCCAUGGGCGUGUUAAACCAUCACCCUGGCAUUUCUAUGAGGUUUCUGGCACUGAAGCAUACAGGACAGGAUCCAGGAUGAUAGGGUAUGAUGGAUUUUUGACUCUUUCCA